rnacentral:rRNA from 1 species
AGAGUUUGAUCCUGGCUCAGGAUGAACGCUGGCGGCGUGCCUAAUACAUGCAAGUCGAACGCUUCACUUCGGUGAAGAGUGGCGAACGGGUGAGUAAUACAUAAGUAACCUGGCAUCUACAGGGGGAUAACUGAUGGAAACGUCAGCUAAGACCGCAUAGGUGUAGAGAUCGCAUGAACUCUAUAUGAAAAGUGCUACGGGACUGGUAGAUGAUGGACUUAUGGCGCAUUAGCUUGUUGGUAGGGUAACGGCCUACCAAGGCGACGAUGCGUAGCCGACCUGAGAGGGUGACCGGCCACACUGGGACUGAGACACGGCCCAGACUCCUACGGGAGGCAGCAGUAGGGAAUUUUCGGCAAUGGGGGAAACCCUGACCGAGCAACGCCGCGUGAAGGAAGAAGUAAUUCGUUAUGUAAACUUCUGUCAUAGAGGAAGAACGGUGGAUAUAGGGAAUGAUAUCCAAGUGACGGUACUCUAUAAGAAAGCCACGGCUAACUACGUGCCAGCAGCCGCGGUAAUACGUAGGUGGCGAGCGUUAUCCGGAAUUAUUGGGCGUAAAGAGGGAGCAGGCGGCACUAAGGGUCUGUGGUGAAAGAUCGAAGCUUAACUUCGGUAAGCCAUGGAAACCGUAGAGCUAGAGUGUGUGAGAGGAUCGUGGAAUUCCAUGUGUAGCGGUGAAAUGCGUAGAUAUAUGGAGGAACACCAGUGGCGAAGGCGACGAUCUGGCGCAUAACUGACGCUCAGUCCCGAAAGCGUGGGGAGCAAAUAGGAUUAGAUACCCUAGUAGUCCACGCCGUAAACGAUGAGUACUAAGUGUUGGGUGUCAAAGCUCAGUGCUGCAGUUAACGCAAUAAGUACUCCGCCUGAGUAGUACGUUCGCAAGAAUGAAACUCAAAGGAAUUGACGGGGGCCCGCACAAGCGGUGGAGCAUGUGGUUUAAUUCGAAGCAACGCGAAGAACCUUACCAGGUCUUGACAUCCCGAUGACCGGCCCGUAACGGGGCCUUCUCUUCGGAGCAUUGGAGACAGGUGGUGCAUGGUUGUCGUCAGCUCGUGUCGUGAGAUGUUGGGUUAAGUCCCGCAACGAGCGCAACCCCUAUCCUCAGUAGCCAGCAUUUAAGGUGGGCACUCUGGGGAGACUGCCAGGGAUAACCUGGAGGAAGGCGGGGAUGACGUCAAAUCAUCAUGCCCCUUAUGACUUGGGCUACACACGUGCUACAAUGGCGUAAACAAAGUGAAGCGAGAGUGUGAGCUUAAGCAAAUCACAAAAAUAACGUCUCAGUUCGGAUUGUAGUCUGCAACUCGACUACAUGAAGCUGGAAUCGCUAGUAAUCGCGAAUCAGAAUGUCGCGGUGAAUACGUUCCCGGGUCUUGUACACACCGCCCGUCACACCAUGGGAGUCGGAAAUGCCCGAAGCCAGUGACCCAAGCGAAAGCAGGGAGCUGUCGAAGGCAGGUCUGAUAACUGGGGUGAAGUCGUAACAAGGUAGCCGUAUCGGAAGGUGCGGCUG